AGCAUUCGGACAGAGACAGCUGCAUCCUUUUCCACCCACCCACUCCCCCUUGGGCCAAGCCGUUCCCAGGCCUGGAUAAGACGUGAGCAGGCACUAUGACUUCUCAAGUCACCUCAGGACAUACAGAGCCACCCAGUCUUUACCAUCAUCACUGUUUGGCUGUCUGACCCACCUAAUGUACAUCACCUGUGUCCUUUUGUCAAACACCGGGACUGCUUCCGCUUGCGUCCUCACUCCAGACACUGCAGCUGCGGACAUCCCUGGAAAUGUGUCUUGAGAUUUCUGCAAGGGCCAGAUAUGCAAGGCAGCUCCCGAAUGCUGAAGGAGCAGAGAAACCAAAGAACAAGGCAGACAAAUCCAGUUUGCUGGUACAGGGUGAUUUAUUUGGGUGACCUUACAGACAAGCUUGGUCUUGGGCAGCCACGAGACAAACAGAUCUCCGUGCCUGUCAUCCUAGAGCCAAGGCUUAUGUACCAUAGGGAAAGGGUAUGAGUGUUCUGUGCAAGACAAUUAAAGGCAGCCCUCCAGAACAGGCAAGAAUCUGCAUACGUUAUAGCCUAUAAUUGGUGUGAUAACAUCAAGGUGGACAUAGUCUUAUGCUAAGGGCAGUAAAUAGAGUAGGAAUCAGGAGGUAUUCACGGGACUGCAGCUAUUCAGAAGUCAGCAUGGCGGAUUCACGUCUAAGAUGGGGUCAUUUUUGUCUCCACACCUUCAUUAUUUGUGAGGUUCAAGUAUUUUCCUAUCUCCAUGGACCAUUUGUGCUACCUCUGUGAAUUCCUGUCCAUGUCCUUUGCACAUUUCUCUUCUGCAUUAGUCCUGGGGAGCAGAUAGCUGAGUUUAUUGUAUUCCUUAUUUCACAGCAUACAAAAAGCAUCAAUGGAUGCAAUGCGACUCUUGUUUUGCCUUUGUAUUUUCUUCUUCAUCUUUGAUCCCCGCUCCAUCCUAUUUAAAUGUGAAUAGGCUGGGCGUGGUGACUCAUGCCUGUAAUCCCAGCACUUUGGGUGGCCGAGGCAGGUGGAUCACUUGAGGUCAGGUGUUCGAAACCAGCCUGGCCAACAUGGUGAAACCCCAUCUCUACUAAAAAUACAAAAAUUAGCCAGGCGUGGUGGCACGUGCCUGUAAUCCCAGCUACUCAGGAGGUUGAGGCAGGAGAAUUGCUUGAACAUGGGAGGCAGAUGUUGCAGUGAGCUGAGAACAUGCCACUGCAUUGUAGCCUGGGCAACAGAGCAAGACUCUGAAAAAAAUAAAUAAAUAAAGAGAGAAAGAAAGAAAGAGAGAGAGAAAGAAAGAAAGAAAGAAAAAGAAAGAAAGAAAGAUGUUAACGGAUCAUUGUGAAGCUUUUAUCAUUUUUGUGUGUAUGUAUUUUUUGUUUAUGUAAGUGGUAUUGUGGUCCGGGUGCAGUGGCUCACGCCUGUAAUCCCAGCACUUUGGGAGGUCAAGGUAGGUGGAUUGCUGGAGUUCAGGAGUUGGAGACCAGCCUGAGAAACAUGGUGAAACCCCAGCUCCACAAAAAUAUACAAAGAAAUUAGCUGGGCAUGGUGGCGUGUCCCUGUAGUUCCAGCUACUCGGGAGGCUGAGGCGG
rnacentral:lncRNA from 1 species